rnacentral:rRNA from 1 species
GACGAACGCUGGCGGCGUGCUUAACACAUGCAAGUCGAACGAAGAGCGAUGGAAGCUUGCUUCUAUCAAUCUUAGUGGCGAACGGGUGAGUAACGCGUAAUCAACCUGCCCUUCAGAGGGGGACAACAGUUGGAAACGACUGCUAAUACCGCAUACGAUCUAAUCUCGGCAUCGAGGAUAGAUGAAAGGUGGCCUCUACAUGUAAGCUAUCACUGAAGGAGGGGAUUGCGUCUGAUUAGCUAGUUGGAGGGGUAACGGCCCACCAGGCGAUGAUCAGUAGCCGGUCUGAGAGGAUGAACGGCCACAUUGGGACUGAGACACGGCCCAGACUCCUACGGGAGGCAGCAGUGGGGAAUCUUCCGCAAUGGACGAAAGUCUGACGGAGCAACGCCGCGUGAGGGAUGACGGCCGUCGGGUUGUAAAGCUCUGUUAAUCGGGACGAAAGGCCUUCUUGCGAAUAGUGAGAAGGAUUGACGGUACCGGAAUAGAAAGCCACGGCUAACUACGUG